CAGCAGUAUUUGACAGAGGUAGUGGUCCUCUGUUGGCCGUUGGGACCACAUACUCAACCAGGUAUUUUGGGGACUGUUUGUCCCUACUGCUGCGCCUCAGUGUACUCGAGUGGUCCUGCGAGUUUGUUACACAUUCUGGGUCUGAGGCUCAGUCAAGGGGUCCUGCUAACCCAUAGAUUCAUCAGACAGAAGUUGCAGUUGGUGAGCUUUCUAUAUUUUGGAAAGCCUAUUUUUUUAGACAUUGUUCUUUAUUUUAGUUUAGGUCUGUCUGGGGGCCUUGUCCCAGUUUCAGACAAGUUGUUAUUUUUGGAUGUAUUAGAGAUUUCGCAGACAGAAAUAGAUGUUUUCUAGAUGUUGAUGAAUUUCCAUUCAUAUAGAUAUUCUUAACUCAUAAUACGACCAUGAUUCCCGUA